AUCUCUCUCUCUCUCUCUCUCUCUCUCUAUUAUGCUCUCCUGAUCUCCCUUUAGAUCGCCACCGCCGAUCUAUUGAUUAUCCACGAUUGUCACUAAUCGCUCAUGCCUGCUGGAGCUUAUGAAUCAACUGAAGAAAUCAAUGAGGCGAUUGAAACCAUGGAAAGACCUCCUGUGUGAAAAAACUCAUUGAAUUUGGGGCAAAUGUUUUCAAAUGGUCCUUUCCUAGUCACAUUGUGCGGAACUACAAAUCCUGAGGAUGCACAGGCAUGUUAUUGCAGUCUCUUCUAAUUUUAUUGAGAUAUGGCAAUGAAAAAGCUGGCUGGGAUGCAAAUGCAACCUCUGAGGUCUAUCAGUUGGGAUCCACCUGGAGUCAAGAUGAGAAUAGCACAUAGACAGAAAUGAAAUUCCGUAUUGAUUUGGGAAUGGAAUUACAAAACACGAAAGGAUUUACAAGCAGCAUUUAGAGAGGACUAUGACUCUCCACACACUAAUUUCACUCACUAAAAUGAACAUAUCUUUCUUCUCUCACUCUUUUUCUAUUUAUAGACUCAUGUAAUAGAUUUUGGCUACCUCGCCGCACCUUUCUAAUAGAAUUUGUUACUGCCUUCUCCUUUCUCCGUUCUAAUUGUUUCUUCUAGAAUAUGUGUAUUUAAUUGGGGGCUUAUCAGUUGUCUUAUUUUCUGAAUGAAUUGUUGAGAAAUUAAUGUGUCAUUGUUAGGUUUUAUGUAAUUGGUGAUUCUGUGAACAAAAAGGACUAAAUUGAACACGCGUAAAGUCAAGGAGUUAUAUGCAAUUUUGUAUAGAUAAGUCAGGCAAGUUAGGAUUCGAGUCCGGAAUAAGAAAAGAAGAGACGUCGCAUUUUCGCUAGCUGUUGGCCAAGACAUUGUUCGAGCGACAAAAACAGAAUGAUCAUCGCUAGCCUGUCACUCGAACUUCGCUCAAUUUAAAGUUUGUCGCUUAUUUUUCGCUGGAGUAACCGUGUUAUGUGACCAACCCUAAUUUGCAAUUUUGAAAGGUUUUACAUGGACUAUAAUACCUAAAAAUCUCUAACUAUAAAUAUCCAAGCUUUGUACUUUUUUAUGGUGGUUGUUCAUUAUGCCUUAUAUACAUAUCAUAAUCAUAUCAAUCUUUUGGUGAUGCAAGACCCUACUCAUACCUUGAUUCAAUCCUUUGAUUCUUGAGAUCUUGCAACCACAUAUUUGGAAAAACAUCAAAUACUUGAAUCCAAAACACCUAACUUCUUAACACCAUAAGGAAGAGACUUUUUCAGUUGGGCAUUGGGAGAGGUGGACUGCAAGCACGGGAAAAGCAUAAGAAUUGACUAUUCUUGAAAUUUCACUUGGAAGAGACAAUUGGAGAUAAUUGGGAAGCCAGUGGAGUCAGCAGAUCUUGGAGAUUACACAAGGUGGAUCGAAAAGUCUAGUGGAGUUGGCUAGACAAUAUCUAACUCUAAGGCUCAUUGUCUAUAGUGGAGGUAUCUGACUUGGUCCCAGAGUUUUUACCCAGUUGGGUUUCUUCGAUAACAAUAU